rnacentral:rRNA from 1 species
CCUACGGGAGGCAGCAGUGGGGAAUCUUGCGCAAUGGGCGAAAGCCUGACGCAGCAACGCCGCGUGCGGGAAGAAGGCUUUCGGGCUGUAAACCGCUUUCAGCAGGAACGAAAAUGACGGUACCUGCAGAAGAAGGAGCGGCCAACUAUGUGCCAGCAGCCGCGGUGAUACAUAGGCUUCAAGCGUUGUCCGGAUUUAUUGGGCGUAAAGAGUUCGUAGGCGGUCAAGUAAGUCGGGUGUGAAAAUUCUGGGCUCAACCCAGAGACGCCACCCGAUACUGCUUAACUUGAGUUCGAUAGGGGAGUGGGGAAUUCCUAGUGUAGCGGUGAAAUGCGCAGAUAUUAGGAGGAACACCGGUGGCGAAGGCGCCACUCUGGAUCGAUACUGACGCUGAGGAACGAAAGCAUGGGUAGCAAACAGGAUUAGAUACCCUGGUAGUCCAUGCCGUAAACGGUGGGCACUAGGUGUGGGUUUCUAUUAACGAAAUCCGCGCCGUCGCUAACGCAUUAAGUGCCCCGCCUGGGAGGUACGGUCGCGAGACUAAACUUAAAUAGAUAGACGGCGUGAGACGUGCCGACGACGACGACGACGGGAGUAGG